CCAAGGAAUGCAGGCGGCUUCCAGAAGCUGACAAAGCAAGGGAACAGAUUCUCCCCUGGAGCCUCCAGGAAGCAUACGGCUCUGGGAACACCUUGAUUGUUAGCUCAAUGAGACUUGCCUUGGAUUGCUGACUGGUGUGAUAAGUGUGCGUUGUUUCAAACCAUUUGUUAGGGCAGCUACAGGAAAUUAAUACAGCGCUCUUACCCAAGCACCACGUGGGCACUGGGGCUUCCAGCAACAUUGUCCCAUUGGCAUUUUAGAAAGCUGGAUUCAAAUAUUUACCAAGCUUUCUACAUGCCAGGACCGUGCCAGGCCAUGGGGAGAUAGUGCAAAAGAGAAGUGCAGCCCCUGCCUUGGGUGGGGCUGUAAUACAUCACUGGAGGUCACUCCAGCUGCCACGCUGGAUUAGAGGCCAGCGCAGGAUGAGCAGAUUAUCACUAACUGGCAGGCUGAACAGCAGCAGUUCCUAACCGGCAGCUGCAGAGCUUUUGUUUAAUUGAAAAAAGACUUAUCUGAAGCGCUCAGAGGAGAGCACUUUGCAACAGAUGUGCCAGAGCCGGCCCAGCGGCCACUUGGCUACAGCAAAUUUGUGCCAUGGCUGCCCAUUGCCCUUUCCCAUCAGGGCAGCCUGAGGGUCUCAUGGGAAUGAGGGGUGGGGGGCCACCUGGGGUUUCUCAAAGCACGAAGCAGGAGUCUCCACUGAAGGGGAAGCAUGCUGAGAGAAGUAUACUGUGUUAUUGGGCCUGGGAUCCUGCCCAUUCUGCCAGUGCCCCCACCCACGAUGCAGCCGCUGAGUGGCCAUAGCUGUCCUGAGUUUCUUCAGCCACGGAGAGAAGUCAGAGCAUCUGGGAAAUGGAAUUGCCCAGAAGCCUCAUGGAAAGGAGCCAUGUGGAGUCCAAGGUGGCUAAAAGCUAUAAUGUCCCACCAAGGUUUCCAUGUUAAGCCCCCAAAUACACCAAGACAACUUCCCCAGCCCUCUCCAUCACCAACACAACCCAUGGCCAACAAAAAGCAGUGAGAGAAAUAGGAAGAGAAAGCCUACAAAUGCAAAUUUCA